CCCUUAGAUGUUCUGGGCCGCACGCGCGCUACACUGACGGAGUCAACGAGUUGUCCUGCAUCGGAAGGUGUGGGUAAUCUUUUGAAACUUCGUCGUGCUGGGGAUAGAUCUUUGCAAUUUUCGGUCUUGAACGAGGAAUUCCUAGUAAGCGUGAUUCAUCAGAUCGCGUUGAUUACGUCCCUGCCCUUUGUACACACCGCCCGUCGCUACUACCGAUUGAAUGGUUUAGUGAGGCCUCGGGACUGGCGCGCUCGAGUAGCAAUACACCUGCGCGCCGGGAACUUGGUCAAACUUGAUCAUUUAGAGGAAGUAAAAGUCGUAACA
rnacentral:rRNA from 1 species